rnacentral:lncRNA from 1 species
AUAUAGGUCUCUACAAACAUAGUAAAUUGCAAAUAUAUAUCCUUUCAAAGCUCAACUUUUAUAUGUUGUUUCUACAAAAAUUCUAAUGGUUUCAAAUAUGUCUGUCUGGUUUGUUACUGUUAGAGAACUGUUUAUAUUUUAACAGCAAAUAAGUAAUAUGCCAAUUUUGCCAUCACAAAUAUAUUCCUCCAAAAGCCACAAUAGUAUAAUAUAAGAGGGGUAAAAAUGUCAAGUUAUCUCAUAAACUAACCAGGGUUAAGUAUUUGACAUAUGGUUAACUAAUUUUUUCUAAUGGAUUCUAGCGGCGGAAACAUAUUUGAUAAUGCUAUGCGCCGAAUUCCCUGGUCCUUGACCUGGUCAAAGAUCUCUCUCAGGAAGAGUGUA